rnacentral:rRNA from 1 species
CUUCGGAAUGAAAUCUGAUAUGACUGAGUGGCGGACGGGUGAGUAACGCGUGAGCAACCUGCCCUUCGGAACGGGAUAGUGUCUGGAAACGGACAGUAAUACCGUAUAACGUAUUUUCACCGCAUGAUAGAAAUACCAAAACUGAGGUGCCGAAGGAUGGGCUCGCGUCUGAUUAGAUAGUUGGUGGGGUAACGGCCUACCAAGUCGACGAUCAGUAGCCGGACUGAGAGGUUGAACGGCCACAUUGGGACUGAGACACGGCCCAGACUCCUACGGGAGGCAGCAGUGGGGAAUAUUGCACAAUGGGGGAAACCCUGAUGCAGCAACGCCGCGUGAAGGAAGACGGUUUUCGGAUUGUAAACUUCUGUUCUUAGUGAAGAAUAAUGACGGUAGCUAAGGAGCAAGCCACGGCUAACUACGUGCCAGCAGCCGCGGUAAUACGUAGGUGGCAAGCGUUGUCCGGAAUUACUGGGUGUAAAGGGAGCGUAGGCGGGAUGCCAAGUCAGCUGUGAAAACUAUGGGCUUAACCUGUAGACUGCAGUUGAAACUGGUAUUCUUGAGUGAAGUAGAGGUUGGCGGAAUUCCGAGUGUAGCGGUGAAAUGCGUAGAUAUUCGGAGGAACACCGGUGGCGAAGGCGGCCAACUGGGCUUUAACUGGCGCUGAGGCUCGAAAGUGUGGGGAGCAAACAGGAUUAGAUACCCUGGUAGUCCACACUGUAAACGAUGAUAACUAGGUGUGGGGGGUCUGACCCCUUCCGUGCCGCAGCUAACGCAAUAAGUUAUCCACCUGGGGAGUACGACCGCAAGGUUGCAACUCAAAGGAAUUGACGG